rnacentral:rRNA from 1 species
UACGGAGGGGGCUAGCGUUGUUCGGAAUUACUGGGCGUAAAGCGCACGUAGGCGGCUUUGUAAGUUAGAGGUGAAAGCCCGGGGCUCGACUCCGGAACUGCCUUUAAGACUGCAUCGCUAGAAUUGUGGAGAGGUAAGUGGAAUUCCGAGUGUAGAGGUGAAAUUCGUAGAUAUUCGGAAGAACACCAGUGGCGAAGGCGACUUACUGGACACAUAUUGACGCUGAGGUGCGAAAAGCGUGGGGGAGCAAACAGG